rnacentral:pre_miRNA from 1 species
UAUACACUCCCUCUGUUCGGAAUUACUUGUCGCGGGUAUGGAUGUAUCUAGAUGUAUUUUAGUUCUAGAUACAUCCAUUUCUGCGACGAGUAAUUUGGAACGGAGGGAGUAGGAU